UACGUAGGGUGCAAGCGUUAAUCGGAAUUACUGGGCGUAAAGCGUGCGCAGGCGGUGAUGUAAGACAGAUGUGAAAUCCCCGGGCUCAACCUGGGAACUGCAUUUGUGACUGCAUCGCUGGAGUGCGGCAGAGGGGGAUGGAAUUCCGCGUGUAGCAGUGAAAUGCGUAGAUAUGCGGAGGAACACCGAUGGCGAAGGCAAUCCCCUUGGCCUGCACUGACGCUCCUGCACGAAAGCGUGGGGAGCAAACAGG
rnacentral:rRNA from 1 species